GUAUAUUUUAUUGUUAUGUUUUCUGAAAGAAAAUAGCCAAUCCUUUUGUAAGCUUAACAUUUUAUCUUUCACGACAAUCAUCAUCUUCUAUCUGCAUCGUCAUCUACAGUUCAUCGUCCUUAGCCAUCAAGAACCGUCCCAUUAAUGGGUUUCAGUAGGUUGUGCGAGAUGUAUCUUCCUAAUGAAUCUCUGGAUCGAGCUUCAUUCGCGCCGGUUGUCUUAGAUUCGUCUCCUCCAAAACGUUACGGAUUCGUCAAUUUAUUGCCAUUAAGAAGCAUCUUUACUCCUUUGACCACCAACAAGCACCAAUCAAACAUUCAAUGCUUCUAAUUCCUCAUUCAGGCGGUGUUUAUCCCCCCGCAUAAAAAGGAAUCCAGGACCGUAGCUCUAUCGGUUCAGAAGAUCCAUCAAGACCCAAACUUUCCAUAUUUAUCAACACAUCCUAUUGCUUCCCAUAAAGUUUAGGUCGCUCUAAUUCUCUCCAUCAGAUUUGAAAUAGAUAUUUCUGUUUUUUUUCUAAUAUAUAUGAUUUCAGUCUGGUCGGUAUGUUUUUACUAUAUAUAUACUCGGAAACAAUUGCUUUUGCAGGAUGAGAGUGCUUUCAGAGUUUUGGUGAGGUUUUACAAGUGGUGAUCGUGAGAGAUCGAGCCACUGGCUGUGAUCAUGGCUUUGGUUUCUUUUUCUUCGCUGCUCCCAGUGUUCCUGUGAGAGCCAUAUUGCUCUAUGUUAAAUUGACUGAACGGGUUAUCGUUCGGAUUGGAGUCGAGUGGUUGGAUCUCAUCAUCUCGAUAGACGAAGAUUCACAGUCUGGAUCAUAACGCUGCUGCAAAGAAACGAUAAGAAACGAUGCUAUGCUUAGUUAAGAUGCAAAGAGAUCUGUAUAUGGUAUGAAAAUCGAGAAUUGAUGCAAGUGAUGCUGAUAAGAUGGACAUGUCAGUUCAACAGUGGUUCAAGGGUCCAGUGUCCAGUGCUCAAGGGUCUAUGAUGUGAUGUUAGAACCUAGGCUUGCAGUUUGAUUAGUUUUUUAUUUUUGGGUUCUGUUAGCCAUUGAUAGGCUUAGAUUGAGAUUAAUUUUAAUUAGAUAAGAGUUUUUAAAAUGCAGCUGAAAAAUACAGUUUAUGCAUUGCAUAUCACAGAAGCUUAUGAUGAUUUCGAGGCAGAAUCAUUCUUGCACGAAGCCAUCAAUGUUACUGCAAAACAUAGUGGAGAAGUGAGUCGUUUUUAUGAGAGAAGUGAGUCGUUUUCUGUUCCUCUUUGGCUGAAUUCUCAUGCCUCCUAAUGGAGUGUGGUUGCUAUGGAAAUGCAAGCUAAAGCUAAAGUUAUAAUAGAGCCCAUAAGGGAAAAUUGCAUU